rnacentral:rRNA from 1 species
UACAGAGGGGGCAAGCGUUGUUCGGAAUUACUGGGCGUAAAGGGCGCGUAGGCGGCCCGUUAAGUCGAACGUGAAAUCCCCAGGCUCAACCUGGGAACUGCGUCCGAUACUGGCGGGCUUGAAUCCGGGAGAGGGAUGCGGAAUUCCAGGUGUAGCGGUGAAAUGCGUAGAUAUCUGGAGGAACACCGGUGGCGAAGGCGGCAUCCUGGACCGGCAUUGACGCUGAGGCGCGAAAGCCAGGGGAGCAAACGGGG